ACUGUUCUAAUCAUUUGGACCAAAUAGGAUGUGCUUCAAAAAAACCACCUGGAACUUCUUAAGUUCACUGGAGCAAGUUAUAAAGAAGUGUUAGAGAUUCAGGUGGCUGUGGGUAAAGCAAUUGUCCCCAAGGUGCAAACAGCUCUAGAUCUGUUUGAGAGAUCAGGACAUCAACAAUCAUUCCUGCCAACAUCUCUUGAUGAUCUUGAUAAGCAGCUGCACGGAGGACUGACUUGUGGUACAAUAACAGAGAUAGCAGGGCCAGCAGGAUGUGGCAAGACUCAGUUCUGUAUCAUGCUCAGUGUGCUGGCAACCCUGCCUCAAGACAAAGGAGGACUGGAUGCUAGUGUUAUUUACAUUGACACUGAGGCAGCUUUCAGUGCAACAAGGUUGGGUACCCAGUAUGGAGUUUUAUAUUUUGCACAGGGAAAUCAUUUAUGAUGUAAUUUCUGCAUUUCACCUGUACGUUAUGCCCUGGAGACUCUUAAAGCCUCGCCUCCUCUGAAGCCGAAGCAUCUUUGACAGUAACUGUAAAGAAUUCUUCUGCUUGAGAAGAGGUGAGGUAUGACAUCUGUGAGUUUGUUAAGCUUGACAUUUGUGGGGUUUAUAUAAGAGAAAAUAUUGUAUAUUCAUAGAAAGUACUCUGGAGACAUGCAUUGUCAUGUACAUGUGUGUAUGUAUUGUGGAAUAUCCAUAUAAGGAAGGUAAGGUUAGGUAAGGGAGAAGAUGGUUUUCUAAAGAUAAAGGGAGAACUGGGGUCCAUUUCUUGAAGGUCCUGAGAAGUUUUCGCACCCAAAAAGCCGUGGCAAAAUCUCAAACCUUAAGACCACAGAGCUGUUUUAUGCACAAAUUCUUAAAAUGAACAAAA